ensembl:misc_RNA Y_RNA Y RNA
NNCUGGUCCCAGUGCAGUGGUGUUUAUAACUCAUCAAUCAUAGCCAGAACAGAUUUCUUUAUUCCUUCUUCACUCCCACUGCUUCACUUGACUACCCUUAA